rnacentral:lncRNA from 1 species
GCUGGAAAUUUAUUGCAGUGCCAUAAGACUUGUACAUACAGAGAGUUAUAUACCCCAUUCCAUAACUCUUCAUUUCUUAAACUUAAAUCAACCGCAUUACAAGUAGCUCCAAUAAUUAAAACUAACAAGUUCACUAAACAUGACUUAACUUCAACUAAUAACAUGAUUCACAUUAGCCAUCACAAUGCUCAAACUCUAAGCAAGUAAAUACUGAGCUCAGGACCUCCAUUGCUAUCAGGAUUCAUCAUAUAAAAAGCUUCAGAGUCUCUAGACCCCACCACUCUCUCAAACUUAGCUCUCAUGU